rfam:Enterobacteriaceae bacterium symbiont of Ferrisia virgata isolate GEFVIR genome assembly, chromosome: I
GGGGCUGAUUAUGGACUUGACGGGAUUUACGAAACCUAAAAGCGCAUGCCGAGGUAAGGUUGCCUCGUAAAAAACCUUAAAAAAAUAAUUGCAAACAAUCCGCAAUUUGAAUCUAAUGCUGCUUUAGCAGCUUAAUCAGUUUAAUAAACUGAAGAUUCCCUCUCUCCCUAGCCUCCGCUCUUAGGACGGGGAUCAAGAGAGGUCAAAAUAAAGAGAGAUCGCGUGAAUGCACUGCCUAGUGCUAAAGCGUUAAAACUAAUCAGGCUAGUUUGCUAGCAGUCUGUUCGUCUUACAGCUAGCAGGUGAAUAAAAAAGACUGAACUAAGCAUGUAGUACUGAAGGUGUAGAAGUUUCGGACGCGGGUUCAAAUCCCGCCAGCUCCAUUA